rnacentral:rRNA from 1 species
GGGUUGUGAGGUUAAGCGACUAAGCGUACACGGUGGAUGCCCUGGCAGUCAGAGGCGAUGAAGGACGUGCUAAUCUGCGAUAAGCGUCGGUAAGGUGAUAUGAACCGUUAUAACCGGCGAUUUCCGAAUGGGGAAACCCAGUGUGUUUCGACACACUAUCAUUAACUGAAUCCAUAGGUUAAUGAGGCGAACCGGGGGAACUGAAACAUCUAAGUACCCCGAGGAAAAGAAAUCAACCGAGAUUCCCCCAGUAGCGGCGAGCGAACGGGGAGGAGCCCAGAGCCUGAAUCAGUGUGUGUGUUAGUGGAAGCGUCUGGAAAGGCGCGCGAUACAGGGUGACAGCCCCGUACACAAAAAUGCACAUACUGUGAGCUCGAUGAGUAGGGCGGGACACGUGGUAUCCUGUCUGAAUAUGGGGGGACCAUCCUCCAAGGCUAAAUACUCCUGACUGACCGAUAGUGAACCAGUACCGUGAGGGAAAGGCGAAAAGAACCCCGGCGAGGGGAGUGAAAAAGAACCUGAAACCGUGUACGUACAAGCAGUGGGAGCCUCUUAAUGGGGUGACUGCGUACCUUUUGUAUAAUGGGUCAGCGACUUAUAUUCUGUAGCAAGGUUAACCGAAUAGGGGAGCCGAAGGGAAACCGAGUCUUAACUGGGCGUUAAGUUGCAGGGUAUAGACCCGAAACCCGGUGAUCUAGCCAUGGGCAGGUUGAAGGUUGGGUAACACUAACUGGAGGACCGAACCGACUAAUGUUGAAAAAUUAGCGGAUGACUUGUGGCUGGGGGUGAAAGGCCAAUCAAACCGGGAGAUAGCUGGUUCUCCCCGAAAGCUAUUUAGGUAGCGCCUCGUGAAUUCAUCUCCGGGGGUAGAGCACUGUUUCGGCAAGGGGGUCAUCCCGACUUACCAACCCGAUGCAAACUGCGAAUACCGGAGAAUGUUAUCACGGGAGACACACGGCGGGUGCUAACGUCCGUCGUGAAGAGGGAAACAACCCAGACCGCCAGCUAAGGUCCCAAAGUCAUGGUUAAGUGGGAAACGAUGUGGGAAGGCCCAGACAGCCAGGAUGUUGGCUUAGAAGCAGCCAUCAUUUAAAGAAAGCGUAAUAGCUCACUGGUCGAGUCGGCCUGCGCGGAAGAUGUAACGGGGCUAAACCAUGCACCGAAGCUGCGGCAGCGACGCUUAUGCGUUGUUGGGUAGGGGAGCGUUCUGUAAGCCUGUGAAGGUGGCCUGUGAGGGUUGCUGGAGGUAUCAGAAGUGCGAAUGCUGACAUAAGUAACGAUAAAGCGGGUGAAAAGCCCGCUCGCCGGAAGACCAAGGGUUCCUGUCCAACGUUAAUCGGGGCAGGGUGAGUCGACCCCUAAGGCGAGGCCGAAAGGCGUAGUCGAUGGGAAACAGGUUAAUAUUCCUGUACUUGGUGUUACUGCGAAGGGGGGACGGAGAAGGCUAUGUUGGCCGGGCGACGGUUGUCCCGGUUUAAGCGUGUAGGCUGGUUUUCCAGGCAAAUCCGGAAAAUCAAGGCUGAGGCGUGAUGACGAGGCACUACGGUGCUGAAGCGACAAAUGCCCUGCUUCCAGGAAAAGCCUCUAAGCAUCAGGUAACAUUAAAUCGUACCCCAAACCGACACAGGUGGUCAGGUAGAGAAUACCAAGGCGCUUGAGAGAACUCGGGUGAAGGAACUAGGCAAAAUGGUGCCGUAACUUCGGGAGAAGGCACGCUGAUAUGUAGGUGAAGCGACUUGCUCGUGGAGCUGAAAUCAGUCGAAGAUACCAGCUGGCUGCAACUGUUUAUUAAAAACACAGCACUGUGCAAACACGAAAGUGGACGUAUACGGUGUGACGCCUGCCCGGUGCCGGAAGGUUAAUUGAUGGGGUUAGCGGUAACGCGAAGCUCUUGAUCGAAGCCCCGGUAAACGGCGGCCGUAACUAUAACGGUCCUAAGGUAGCGAAAUUCCUUGUCGGGUAAGUUCCGACCUGCACGAAUGGCGUAAUGAUGGCCAGGCUGUCUCCACCCGAGACUCAGUGAAAUUGAACUCGCUGUGAAGAUGCAGUGUACCCGCGGCAAGACGGAAAGACCCCGUGAACCUUUACUAUAGCUUGACACUGAACAUUGAGCCUUGAUGUGUAGGAUAGGUGGGAGGCUUUGAAGUGUGGACGCCAGUCUGCAUGGAGCCGACCUUGAAAUACCACCCUUUAAUGUUUGAUGUUCUAACGUGGGCCCCUUACCGGGGUUGCGGACAGUGUCUGGUGGGUAGUUUGACUGGGGCGGUCUCCUCCUAAAGAGUAACGGAGGAGCACGAAGGUUGGCUAAUCCUGGUCGGACAUCAGGAGGUUAGUGCAAUGGCAUAAGCCAGCUUGACUGCGAGCGUGACGGCGCGAGCAGGUGCGAAAGCAGGUCAUAGUGAUCCGGUGGUUCUGAAUGGAAGGGCCAUCGCUCAACGGAUAAAAGGUACUCCGGGGAUAACAGGCUGAUACCGCCCAAGAGUUCAUAUCGACGGCGGUGUUUGGCACCUCGAUGUCGGCUCAUCACAUCCUGGGGCUGAAGUAGGUCCCAAGGGUAUGGCUGUUCGCCAUUUAAAGUGGUACGCGAGCUGGGUUUAGAACGUCGUGAGACAGUUCGGUCCCUAUCUGCCGUGGGCGCUGGAGAACUGAGGGGGGCUGCUCCUAGUACGAGAGGACCGGAGUGGACGCAUCACUGGUGUUCGGGUUGUCAUGCCAAUGGCACUGCCCGGUAGCUAAAUGCGGAAGAGAUAAGUGCUGAAAGCAUCUAAGCACGAAACUUGCCCCGAGAUGAGUUCUCCCUGACUCCUUGAGAGUCCUGAAGGAACGUUGAAGACGACGACGUUGAUAGGCCGGGUGUGUAAGCGCAGCGAUGCGUUGAGCUAACCGGUACUAAUGAACCGUGAGGCUUAACCUUACAACGCCGAAG